AGGCCGGUAAGUUAAGAAAACUGUAAACCUUCAAAGUUUAAAAUGGGGCGCCCCGGUUUA
rnacentral:tRNA from 1 species